GAUGAACGCUGGCGGCGUGCCUAAUACAUGCAAGUCGAGCGAACGGACGAGAAGCUUGCUUUUCUGAUGUUAGCGGCGGACGGGUGAGUAACACGUGGAUAACCUACCUAUAAGACUGGGAUAACUUCGGGAAACCGGAGCUAAUACCGGAUAAUAUUUUGAACCGCAUGGUUCAAAAGUGAAAGACGGUCUUGCUGUCACUUAUAGAUGGAUCCGCGCUGCAUUAGCUAGUUGGUAAGGUAACGGCUUACCAAGGCAACGAUGCAUAGCCGACCUGAGAGGGUGAUCGGCCACACUGGAACUGAGACACGGUCCAGACUCCAACGGGAGGCAGCAGUAGGGAAUCUUCCGCAAUGGGCGAAAGCCUGACGGAGCAACGCCGCGUGAGUGAUGAAGGUCUUCGGAUCGUAAAACUCUGUUAUUAGGGAAGAACAUAUGUGUAAGUAACUGUGCACAUCUUGACGGUACCUAAUCAGAAAGCCACGGCUAACUACGUGCCAGCAGCCGCGGUAAUACGUAGGUGGCAAGCGUUAUCCGGAAUUAUUGGGCGUAAAGCGCGCGUAGGCGGUUUUUUAAGUCUGAUGUGAAAGCCCACGACUCAACCGUGGAGGGUCAUUGGAAACUGGAAAACUUGAGUGCAGAAGAGGAAAGGGGAAUUCCAUGUGUAGCGGUGAAAUGCGCAGAGAUAUGGAGGAACACCAGUGGCGAAGGCGACUUUCUGGUCUGUAACUGACGCUGAUGUGCGAAAGCGUGGGGAUCAAACAGGAUUAGAUACCCUGGUAGUCCACGCCGUAAACGAUGAGUGCUAAGUGUUAGGGGGUUUCCGCCCCUUAGUGCUGCAGCUAACGCAUUAAGCACUCCGCCUGGGGAGUACGACCGCAAGGUUGAAACUCAAAGGAAUUGACGGGGACCCGCACAAGCGGUGGAGCAUGUGGUUUAAUUCGAAGCAACGCGAAGAACCUUACCAAAUCUUGACAUCCUUUGACAACUCUAGAGAUAGAGCCUUCCCCUUCGGGGGACAAAGUGACAGGUGGUGCAUGGUUGUCGUCAGCUCGUGUCGUGAGAUGUUGGGUUAAGUCCCGCAACGAGCGCAACCCUUAAGCUUAGUUGCCAUCAUUAAGUUGGGCACUCUAAGUUGACUGCCGGUGACAAACCGGAGGAAGGUGGGGAUGACGUCAAAUCAUCAUGCCCCUUAUGAUUUGGGCUACACACGUGCUACAAUGGACAAUACAAAGGGCAGCGAAACCGCGAGGUCAAGCAAAUCCCAUAAAGUUGUUCUCAGUUCGGAUUGUAGUCUGCAACUCGACUACAUGAAGCUGGAAUCGCUAGUAAUCGUAGAUCAGCAUGCUACGGUGAAUACGUUCCCGGGUCU
rnacentral:rRNA from 1 species